rfam:Dipodomys ordii contig_12620, whole genome shotgun sequence.
GGUGGUUCAGUGGUAGAGUGCUUGCCUUACAUGCAUGAGGCCCUUGGUUCGAUUCCUUGGCACCA